AAUCUAAUCCUCAGUAUUGAGCAAAGGGUACAAUUGUUGAUAAAAAUCUUCCACAGCCUGUUGGGAACAUCCUCACUGGCUGCGUAGCCUUUCAGCCAUAUCUGUGUAAACGGGUGCUGACGGAGAUGGGUGAGCUUGUCUUGCCCGUUAUCUAUUAGCAUGCUUCCGGAUGCCUUUAACUGGGUGUCGGAAGCGGACGGCAUCUUCAUUUUGAACAAAUUUGAGUGCUUAAGGCAGCCCUUGCAUGAAAUAAUGAAAUAGGACUUCGGUUCUAUUUUUUUGGUUCUCGGAUCCGAAGUAAUGAUUAAGAGGGACAGAUAGAGUUAGAGGUGAAAUUGNNNNNNNNNNAAAUAGGACUUCGGUUCUAUUUUUUUGGUUCUCGGAUCCGAAGUAAUGAUUAAGAGGGACAGAUGGAGUUAGAGGUGAAAUUUUGGGAUCUUCGCCAGACAAACUACAGCGAAAGCAUUUGCCAAGAAUGUUUUCAUUGAUCAGGAGCGAAAGUCAGAGUUUCGAAGACGAUCAGAUACCAUCGUAGUUCUGACUAUAAACGAUGCCAACUAACGAUCCGCGAUGGUUCUAUAAUUGACAUUGCGGGCAGUCCCCGGGAAACUUUUAAGUCUUUGGGCUCCAGAGGAAGUAUGGUUGCAUAGCUAAAACUUAAGGGAAUUGACGGUUUAAUUCGACUCAACCUGGGAAAACCCACCCUGACCGGACACUGUGAGGAUUGACAAAUUGGAAGCUCUUUCUUGAUUCGGUGGAUGAUGGUGCAUGGCCGUUCUUAGUUGGUGGAGCGAUUUGUCUGGUUAAUUCCUGUAACGAAUGAGACUUUAACCUACUAAAUAGUAGAUUGGUCCUUUGUGCUCGUUCAGGGCGCAGUUUCUAUUGCUUCUAUAUGGAGCGUACAGUGCCAGUUUUUACUUCUUAGAGGGACAGAUGGCACAUCGAAGUCGUACGAAAUUGAACAAUAACAGGUCUGUGAUGCCCUUAGAUAUCCGGGGCCACACAUGCGCUACAAUGACGGUGUCAGCGAGUCUAGGAACCUGGCCCGAAAGGGUUAGGCAAACUGUUUCAUCACUGUCGUGACGGGGAUCGGGGCUUGCAAUUAUUCCCCGUGAACGAGGAAUUCCUACUAAGUGCAAGUCAUAAGCUUGCGCUGACUACGUCUCUGCCCUUUGUACCGACCAAUUGAGUGGUUUAGUGAAGCCGUUGGACCGGUGUUGUUGCAGUGGCUUUGCCGCUUGACUGAUGCCAAGAAGACGAACUAACUUAACUAUUUAGAGGAAGCAUUAUUAUUAUUAUACCNNNN
rnacentral:ncRNA from 1 species